rnacentral:rRNA from 1 species
GAUGAACGCUAGCGGCAGGCUUAAUACAUGCAAGUCGAGGGGCAGCAGGGCGCAGCGAUGCGCCGCUGGCGACCGGCGCACGGGUGCGUAACGCGUAUGCAACCCACCCGCCACAGGGGGAUAACCCGGAGAAAUCCGGACUAAUACCGCGUGCGCUCCUCCCGGGGCAUCCCGGGGGGAGGGAAGAUUGAUCGGUGGCGGAGGGGCAUGCGUCCCAUUAGCUAGUCGGCGGGGUGAAGGCCCACCGAGGCGACGAUGGGUAGGGGAUCUGAGAGGACGACCCCCCACAUUGGUACUGAGACAGGGACCAAACUCCUACGGGAGGCAGCAGUAGGGAAUAUUGGGCAAUGGGCGAGAGCCUGACCCAGCCAUGCCGCGUGCGGGAAGAAGGCCUUACGGGUCGUAAACCGCUUUUGGGCGGGGGUAACGCCGGGGACGUGCUCCCCGGGUGAAAGUACCGCCAGAAUAAGGAUCGGCUAACUCCGUGCCAGCAGCCGCGGUAAUACGGAGGAUCCGAGCGUUAUCCGGAUUCAUUGGGUUUAAAGGGUGCGCAGGCGGGACGCUAAGUCCGCGGUGAAAGGUUCCGGCCCAACCGGGACACUGCCAUGGAUACUGGCGACCUAGAUCGGGGACGGCGCGGGCGGAACAUGUCAAGUAGCGGUGAAAUGCGUAGAUAUGACAUGGAACGCCGAUCGGGAAGCCGGCCCGCGAGACCUCCGAUGACGCUGAGGCACGAAAGCGUGGGGAUCAAACAGGAUUAGAUACCCUGGUAGUCCACGCGGUAAACGAUGAACACUCGUUGCCGGCGAUAGACGGCCGGUGGCCAAGCGAAAGUGAUAAGUGUUCCACCUGGGGAGUACGUUCGCAAGUAUGAAACUCAAAGGAAUUGACGGGGGCCCGCACAAGCGGAGGAGCAUGUGGUUUAAUUCGAUGAUACGCGAGGAACCUUACCCGGACUUGAACGCAGGGGGGAUGCGGCCGAAAGGCCGCAGCCGGAGACGGCCGCCUGCGAGGUGCUGCAUGGUUGUCGUCAGCUCGUGCCGUGAGGUGUUAGGUCAAGUCCUGCAACGAGCGCAACCCCUACCCACAGUUGCCAGCGCGUAGCGGCGGGGACUCCGUGGGGACUGCCCGCGCAAGCGGAGAGGAAGGCGGGGAUGACGUCAAAUCAGCACGGCCCUUACGUCCGGGGCGACACACGUGCUACAAUGGGCGGUACAGAGGGAAGCGGGGCCGCGAGGCCGAGCGGAUCCCGAAAGCCGUUCCCAGUUCGGAUCGGAGUCUGCAACCCGACUCCGUGAAGUUGGAUUCGCUAGUAAUCGCGCAUCAGCCAUGGCGCGGUGAAUACGUUCCCGGGCCUUGUACACACCGCCCGUCAAGCCAUGGGAGUUGGGGGUGCCUGAAGUACGUGACCGGAAGGAGCGUCCUAGGGCAAAACCGAUGACUGGGGCU